GAUGAAGAACGUAGUGAAAUGCGAUAAGUAGUGUGAAUUGCAGAAUUCAGUGAAUCAUCGAAUCUUUGAACGCACAUUGCGCCUUCUAGUAUUCUGGGAGGCAUGCCUGUUUGAGCGUCAUUAAACCUCUCUCAAGUAUGAUUACUUGGAUGUGAAGGAAGAGUACCUUAAACUUAAGGAGUGUUCUCCUUUGAAAUUGAUUAGCAGAUGGUAAUGUUAUUAAAUCCCUGAUGUUGUAGAAAUAACAGUGGUUUUGUAGACUAUUAUCUAGCUUUAAAUUAUAAUUUUUAUUAUGGUUGACCUCAAAUCAGGUAAGGAUACCCGCUGAACUUAAGCAUAUCAAUAAGCGGAGGA
rnacentral:misc_RNA from 1 species